GACAGAGGAUGCAAGCGUUAUCCGGAAUGAUUGGGCGUAAAGCGUCUGUAGGUGGCUUUUCAAGUUCGCCGUCAAAUCCCAGGGCUCAACCCUGGACAGGCGGUGGAAACUACCAAGCUGGAGUAUGGUAGGGGCAGAGGGAAUUUCCGGUGGAGCGGUGAAAUGCAUUGAGAUCGGAAAGAACACCAACGGCGAAAGCACUCUGCUGGGUCGACACUGACACUGAGAGACGAAAGCUAGGGGAGCAAAUGGG
rnacentral:rRNA from 1 species